UUGCUUUAGUAGCACAUAUACUGAAAUUGGGAUGAAACACAGAUUAUUACAAUGGCCUCUGUGCAAAGAGGGCACAUACAUUUUGAAGCAGUCUGUAUAUUU
ensembl:snRNA U6 U6 spliceosomal RNA